rnacentral:rRNA from 1 species
UACGAAGGGGGCUAGCGUUGCUCGGAAUCACUGGGCGUAAAGCGCACGUAGGCGGAUUUCUAAGUCAGGGGUGAAAGCCUGUGGCUCAACCACAGAAUUGCCUUCGAUACUGUAGAGCUUGAGACCGGAAGAGGUAAGUGGAACUGCGAGUGUAGAGGUGAAAUUCGUAGAUAUUCGCAAGAACACCAGUGGCGAAGGCGGCUUACUGGUCCGGUUCUGACGCUGAGGCGCGAAAGCGUGGGGAGCAAACAGG